GCCUGCGGAGCUCCGUUACUGAGCAAUCCUGGCAAAGACGUUCAGUUUUAUCUUCUGCAGAAGGAGAAUGUUUUUAUACCUGACCCAUGCGAUUGUUCUGCGCUGCUAAUGUCUAUGCUAGAUAUACGUAGAUUUUUGCCAUCAAAGGCUCUCACGGCCAUAUUUGAGCUGUACCUUUACAGUUCUCUUCAGUUUUCCAAGAGCAGCAGGAAAUGACUGAAUCACAGCACGUCCCCUGGGGAAAAGGCUGUUUGUACUGUGGAAGCUCCAAGCUAGCUUAAAGACGGUAGAGUCUUCCAAGGAACCAUCAGACAGACAGGAAGAGAAUACAUGCAAACGAUAAAUGGAGUCACAUGUUAACAAUAAGGAUUAGUAUCAUUCAAGGAUGUGUCAGUCAGUUUCACCCAGGUGGAGUGGCAGUGGCUGGACUCAGCUCAGAAGAUCCUGUGCAGGGACGUGAUGCUGGAGAACUACAGCAAACUGGUUUCAGUGGGGUGUCUUACAAUCAAACCAGAUGUGAUCUCCCAGUUGGAGCAAGGAGAAGAACCAUGGAUAAUAGAGGUGAUGUUCUCAAGCCAGAGUCUUCCAGGUGAGUUAUUGUGUACCCAAGAGAUGGAAGCUACUGGAAAUCAGAUCUUAAAGUGGACAGUUGGUUACUUGGUACCUGUAAUAUUUUCCUAUGGCCGUUGUAAUGGAAUACCACAAACUGGGUUACUUAAAACAACAGAAAUGUAUUCUCUCACUUCUGGAGGCUAGAAGUACAAAAUCAGGAUGUCAGCAGGGCUAUACUUUCUCCAAAGCCUCUAGGGGAAAAUCCUUCCUACCUCUUCCUAACUUCUGGUGGUUGCUGGCAAUCCUUGGCAUUCCUUGACUUACAGCUGACUCUAAUCCCUGUUUCUGUUAUCAUCUAGCCUUCCCUCUUUGUGUCCUCCCCUAAUUUAGGGCCUACCCUAAUCUAACAUGACCUCAUCCUAACUAAUUAUAUCUACCAAGACCCUAGUUCCAUAUAUCACAUUCUGAGGUUCUGGGUGGAUAUGAACUUUAGGGACAUUAUUCAGACUACUGUGAGAUCUCUGAAACAUUUUUGGAAAUCUCAUUUUAGAGACUUCAUACCUUCACAAAUAUCGAAGGAUGUCUGACCACCAUUCCCAAGAUGUUUAAAUUAACAUUUUGUAAUAUCACCUUCCUCUUAGAAUGUGCUCAUUCUCUACUUGAUGUUUAUAGAGACACUUUGCACUCUGACAUUACCCAAAUCUAAUUUCUAGUUACUGUAUCUUCAAUAUUUAUUUCUUCAUUAUUCUUCAGUUGCCCAAUUUCUUCCCAUUUUUAUAUACUCCUUUUGAUUUUCAUCAAUUUUGGAUAUAGCCUCUUUUUUUAAGUUUUUUUAAGUUUUUCAGAUCAUGACGUGAGCUGAAGUUGGAUGCUCAACCGACUGAGCCACCCAGG